rnacentral:rRNA from 1 species
UACGUAGGGGCAAGCGUUGUCCGGAAUCAUUGGGCGUAAAGCGCGCGUAGGCGGCCCGGUAAGUCCGCUGUAAAAGUCCAGGGCUCAACCCUGGAAAGCCGGUGGAUACUGUCGGGCUAGAGUCCGGAAGAGGCGAGUGGAAUUCCUGGUGUAGCGGUGGAAUGCGCAGAUAUCAAGGAGGAACACCAAUAGCGAAGGCAGCUCGCUGGGACGUUACUGACACUGAGGCGC